rnacentral:tRNA from 1 species
AGCUCAGUCGGUAGAGCACGAGACUCUAAAUCUCAGGGUCGUGGGUUCAAGCCCCAG